UGGGGAAUAUUGGACAAUGGGCGCAAGCCUGAUCCAGCCAUGCCGCGUGAGUGACGAAGGUCUUCGGAUUGUAAAGCUCUUUUGGCGGGGACGAUAAUGACGGUACCCGCAGAAUAAGCCCCGGCUAACUUCGUGCCAGCAGCCGCGGUAAUACGAAGGGGGCUAGCGUUGUUCGGAAUCACUGGGCGUAAAGCGCACGUAGGCGGAUUUGUUAGUCAGGGGUGAAAUCCCGGGGCUCAACCUCGGAACUGCCUCUGAUACUGCAAAUCUCGAGUCCGAUAGAGGUGAGUGGAAUUCCUAGUGUAGAGGUGAAAUUCGUAGAUAUUAGGAAGAACACCAGUGGCGAAGGCGGCUCACUGGAUCGGUACUGACGCUGAGGUGCGAAAGCGUGGGGAGCAAACAGGAUUAGAUACCCUCGUAGUCCCUGAGCGGGCUGGCAAGGCGCAU
rnacentral:rRNA from 1 species